UACGGAGGGGGCUAGCGUUGUUCGGAAAUACUGGGCGUAAAGCGCACGUAGGCGGCUCAGCAAGUCAGAGGUGAAAUCCCAGGGCUCAACCCUGGAACUGCCUUUGAAACUGCUAGGCUAGAAUCAUGGAGAGGUCAGUGGAAUUCCGAGUGUAGAGGUGAAAUUCGUAGAUAUUCGGAAGAACACCAGUGGCGAAGGCGGCCUUCUGGACAGUGACGUGACGCUGAGACGCGAAAGCGUGGGGAGCAAACAGG
rnacentral:rRNA from 1 species